AUGGGGGGCCGGAAAGGAGCGCGUCGCGGGCUGUGAAGGUUGGAGACGGCUGCGGCUUUUUAUGAAUGGAGGCAGGCGGCAGCUGCGCGCGCACCGCCCCUAGCCGGGCCCGAGGAAUGACUGUUGUUGCUGAGCUCAUAAUUUCACUGCGUGUGCCACCCUGCCGAUCAGAUGAGAAGGCCUGCGGCUGACUGGCUGCAGCCAGAGCAGAGCCCAGGAAUGUAGAACGGCCAGCGGAUCCCCUUCCUCAAAAUAAAAGUGCGAUACAUACAUCUGUUGCUGCUGGGGAGAGAGCAGAGUCUACAGGCAGAGAGCCCUUCAUCCACAACUGAAAUGCAGCUGCCACCAGGAUGAUAUUCAUCACUUCAUGACAGUGCACAGCAAUCAGAGAUAGCAAGGCAGGACUGGAAGUAAUGAAUAGUUCUGCACCCAAUGGAGACUGCAGGGAGAUAUCAGGUUGUCCAGAGAAGUGGACAGAGAGAACAAAGGGGACAGAGAUGCAACUGGACCUGGAGACAGUGCGAAGGACUACAACAGGAUCAGCAGCAGGGGAAAUGACAGUGACAGUGCCAGCGACAAGGACAGUGAAUGAACGAGAAUGUAAACACCAAAUUGGGGUUUGGACUAAAGGGCUGCGAUUUGGGUAGGUAAGGGGGGAGGGAGGGUCCACAGGGGCGCAGGGGAUUGGAUGCAUUUAUUGUAACGGGAAUUGCGGGUUUCUUAAUGCAGUUUUAAGAUGUGUGAUGGAAAGCUUAUGACCGAGGAUGUGUAUAUAUAUAACUCUCUCUCUCUCUAUAUAGAAAUACAUUUGAAUUUAAAAAAAAGUCUCACUGAGAAUACCACCAGCCUUGUUUUCCUGUGUCCCCUUCACCAGCUGGGACAGACUUCACCUUGCCCACUCCCGGGCACUUGAAUCCUUGGUGCUUUCAGCGCCUUCUCCAUUAACUCACAAGGCCCAGCUGGAGGCCUGUUGUCAAAUGAUUUCCAUGAUACAAAGAAGAAAAGCUAAAUGCUUUUAAUCCUUUCAGGGUGUGGAGCCAGCUCAGAAAAAGCCACCUCCUUUGAGCAGGACAAAACAUAUUGUAUUUUUAACCAUUGAUGCCUUUUUUUUUCCUUGUGCAUUGUGUUUGCUGGAGGAAUAUGGAACUGGCACCUUUUUCUGCUGAACAGCUCAUCGGCUCGCUUCUUAAAUUCGUCAGCUAAGAAAAACAACACCAAAAUCCAUUUCCUUGUUCUUUUUUCCUGUAAGUCACACUUGCUGCAGCUUCUCUAUUUCUCUCCCUCAGUAAUCCCCUUUGGUCUUUUGGUUGCAAGAUGUACCAGGACUCUCUGACUCACCUCUUUCACAACCAGUCCUUCAAAAUGGCUAGGCCUGAAAAUAUCCAUCUUCCACUGCCAUGUCUUGUUGAGAUUUCAUAGUUACAUAGUAGGUCGGGUCAGAAGACACCUGAGCAGAUCAUCAAGUCCGACCCCCUGCCAUGGGCAGGAAAGAAUGCUGGGGUCAAACGACCCCGGCCAGGUCGUUUUGAUCUCUAAGUUUGCAGUGAAGGGUCAGAGUGAAGUGACUUUGCUUUUAGAGCUAAAAAAGGUAUAUCGGUGGCAAAAAAAAAGAAGAGGCAAAGAUCCAAACUGUACAGUGUGGGAUUUACAAAUUGGGAGAUGGGGCUGAGUCAUGGGGUUGACAGUCUAAACCCAAAUCGCAAUCAGAACAGCGGAGGUAAGAUAAAUAAAAUAGAUGGGCUUGAGACAGAGUAUUUGGAUCCAAAUUUAGAAUCACACCCUACAGUUCUGGGGUACUUGGGAACUGGAAUAUGCUUUUCCCAUUUUUCAGCCUGUAUUUGCAGGUCUCCCAGAUUAGAGUCAGCGCACUUUGAUGGGAAUUUCCAUAGGAAUCUGCAAGUACUGAUAAACAUCUAUAAAGGGUUUUUUUCCAGGAAAGAGACUAGGUCUUUUGAACUGGCAAAUGUCAGGAGUAAUCCAACUGAAACCAAUAGAAAUUACACUAUUAAAACAAUGUAAGUGAAAGCAGAAUCAGGCAUGAGCUAAGGGAGGGUCAAAGACAAUGACUGCUUUAGCCAGCCAGGAACAGGGGAAGGUAGAGCAGCAAAGUCAAUGCUUCUGAGCUGAUAACUGAACAAAGCUGAGAGGAAAUGAACAUAUGUGUGGUCAAAGGCCAGUGCAGACAGGUACCUUAUAUAUUGCACAGGGCUUCUGCACUUCCCUGGAAUUCCAAGAUUUCCCAGUGAAAUCCAAGAUCUCUAGAAAUCCUGUGUCUGGGAAACUAGAAUUUGGGACUUUUUAUAUGCUCCCUAAAAUCCACAAACAAGGGAACCCUAGCAGACCUAUCAUAUCCAACCAUGGGAUCCUAACUGAGGAAGUAUCAGGUUUUGUCGAAUCAAUCCUAAAACCGCGUGUCACCCAAAGAGCAAAUUUUAUCUAAGACACUACAGACUUUCUAUGGAAACUUAAAAACAUAGACCACCUUCCCAGCCACACCUUCCUAGCCACGAUGGAUGUUACCAGCUUAUAUACCAACAUGUCACACCAGGAUGGCAUCCAAACCUGCCUUACAUAUCUACAAGUGCAAGAUUACAACUCAGAGUACAGACCCAAAGAUAUUACUGACCUUAUACACUUCAUCCUCACACACAACAAUUUCACUUUUAAUAACCAACACUUCCUCCAGAUCACAGGCACAGCUAUGGGCACCAAAAUGGCCCCACAGUAUGCCAACAUUUUAUGAGCCACCUGGAAGAAGAAUUCCUCGAGGACUGCACCAUCAAACCCUUGCUAUUCUUAAGAUAUAUCGAUGACAUCUUCAUCAUUUAGACUGAAAACCUGCAAUCUCUGAUUGAGUUCCAUCAGAAAUCGAACAAUCACCAUCCCUCCAUCUGAGUAUCUGUUAAAUACUCCAGCACCAACAUCUCCUUUUUAGACAUGAUUAUCAGUAUCCAGAAUGGUAAAAUACAGACCACGUUAUACAAGAAACCCACAGACCAACAUACAUAUCUGCACAGAACCAGCAAUCACCCGAAACACACCAAGAAAGCUGUGAUAUACAGCCAAGCCCUCAGAUACCACCGAAUUUGCACUGAAGAGAACGCCUGGGAUCGCCACCUCACCAAUCUUAAAAGGCUUUCACCCAACAAGGACACUCUUCCAGAGAGAUAAAUUGCAUGUUUGAAAGAGCCACCCGGAUACCAUGUGAAGAAUUGCUGCAGUACAGAAGAAACUCCCCCUAUGAAUUGCACACCGCUGGUUAUGACAUAUCACCCCUCCCUUGAACCCAUCAGAAAAUCCUCAAACAAUUGCAACCCAUACUAGAAAGAGACCCUAUUAAAGAGAUCUUCCCAGAACCACCCAUCCUAGCCUUCAAACAUGCACCGAACCUCUCUAAGCUCAUCACCAGAAGCAAACUUCCUACAGCCCAAAACACACCGAAUGGAUCCAGACCGUGCCAUGACAAGAAAUGCAAAACCUGCCAACACGUCCCCACCACCCCCACAAUCACUACACCCCGCAACAGAGCCAUCAGCAUCCCUGGAUCUUACAGUUGCACCUCCAGAAAUGUAACAUAUCUCAUCCAGUGCACCAAAUGCCCUGAUGGAAAAUACGAAGGAGAGACCAAACAACAACUGCGCACCAGAAUGAACGCACGUUGGAAAUCUAGCAAAGACAAGAAUACCCAGUUACCGGUGGGGGCACAUUUCUCACAAGAAAACCACCCUGUCUCCAAUCUCAGUUCUAAUCCUCCAAGGGAACUUACAAAACACUUCUCAGAGACGAGCCUACGAACUCCACUUCAUCAACCUCCUGGAUACAAAAAAUCAUGGACUAAAUAUAGACGUUGGAUUUAUGACGCAUUAUAACCUGCCUGACAUCUGACUCCCCAGGUACCUCUCCACUAUUCAUCCCCCUUUUUUCUCCUCCUCCCCAGCCUGUCUCUCACCCACUCACUCCUCUACAUCUUCACUGACUGCCUGUCUCGCUGCAGCCCAGCCUCUGGCCUCUUUACUAUUCCUUCCAUCCGGAAAAAGCACACACCAACUGCAGAUGGUUCCUCAGCCUGAUGAAGGGUUUUUAAGCCUGAAAGCUUGCUAAAUUUUUUUUUCCAACUAUUUAAGCUGGUUUAAUAAAAGAUAACCAGAUUCACCCAAAGAACCUUGUCUGCCUAGAAUUUGGAUUAGAACUUCAGGUUCUAAUUCCUGGGAACAUUUUUAAAAACAAUUUCCUAAUAAUCUGUCAUUGUUCUCUAUCAUUACGGGAACAUUGGAAUACAUUGCUCUCAUUUUCAUUGUUUUAAGAUAAUAUAAAGACAAAACCCACCUCAUUGAAUUAGACUGGGGUUUUGUUUUCCUUCUGGAACCACGUGGCAUAAACCUGCCUUGGACAGUUGGGGGAUUUCCAAUUUCCUGUGCACUGUUAAAUUGGCACAUGUGAGCACAGAGAUUGUCAGGCCUCAUUGCCUAAUUUUUGCUGAGAUGCCUGAAGCUUGAUCCACAAAAUGCUCAGGCACUUAAAUGCCAUCAUACAGUUCCUGAAGGGGGACUAAGUUCAAAAUUUGCCACCUUGCCCUGGAGACUUCUGAGCAGUAAAGUUCCCAAAGCCAAGCAUGCCCAGAAAUGCUGAGUCUUGACAGUGCUGAGCAAUUGGGUGCCUUAUGCUCUGUCAGGAUCAAUGUAUUAGCCAUUUUUUGCCUAUCUGAUCUUCAGCAGAGACAGACCCUUUUUAAAAAAGCUUUUAUUAAUCUUCAUUAUAAAAAAGUAACAAAAAUCUUGAGAAAAGCAACCAAUUAAAAGCCCAGAACCGUACAUGGGGCUAGGGAGAGAGGGAAGGCAAGUGGGCGAAUAUGAUAUUCUAGCCCAGUGGUGCUUAACCUUUUGGCCCUACGGACCAGAUGAGUGGGGCAAGACUAGUCUAUGGGCUGGAUUGAGCUCUGUGCACCAGGAUUGGGUCGUGGGGCUCAGCACCACCCCACCCCUGCCUCUAGUGCUGGGAGCAGGCCUUGGAGCCCAGCAUUGCUCCCUCCUACCUCUGUGCCCUGGGACUGGUCUUUGAGAGGGGAGAGGGGGCUGGCACUACCCCCCCAGCUCCCCACACUGAGAGUGGGCCCUGAGACCUGGCAUCACUCCUGCCUGGCCCUGUCUGCUGGGAUCAGGUGUCUGAUCCAGUGUGCAGGGCUGAGGGCUCCCCACAGUCCAAGAAUUGGGAGGGGGGGGGGGGAAACAGUGCUCUUUUGCUGCCAAAUGUUUGGACCUGUGGGGAGCUCCAUGGACUGGAUGACACUGGACAGCAGGCCAUAUCUGGCCUGUGAGUUGGGGGUUGCAUGCGGGCCCUCCCCUGAAAAGAGAAACCAUGAAUUCCAGUCCUUUCUUCCCUUAAUGUCUAAGUUUUUUAUAAUAUGUAUUUACCCCCUCCUCUUCUGGCCAUUUGUUGGAGGAAGGGCUGGCAUAUGAGUCUUGCUCCAAGAAAGGGUUAAGAUUGGGGCAAUCCUUGAUAAGGACAGGCUUGUGUCCUCAAGCAUUCUCUGUUGGCUUUCUUAGUUGGCUCCUCACACUACAUGCUGGCUUUUGUGAAUCCCAUUCUUGGCUCAUCAGCUGCCCCUGUGUUUUGCAGAGGGAGCUUCAGCGCCUAAGCUGGAGCUGUGGAUUCCAAUAAUUGGGAAAGUGUUGAAAAAUUAGGUGCUUUGACAUUUCACCGUCCACACCUUUUUGUGGGGUUAGCCUCUAGGACUUUGAAUUGGAACUGUGAGCAGGCAUUCCCCCAGCUGUCCUAAGCUAUGCUCCAAAAAAGCUGAGACAUGCCAAAUCAGUGGACAACUGAAAAUGUCAGCCUAAAUGACUCAGCCAAUGCUACACAGUAAGUCAGAAGCAAACACAAGAAUCCACUAGUUCUUAUUCUCAACCCCUUUUCUGUAAUCACUAUGCAACACCUUCCGUGUUGGAUCAUACAAUAUGUUUCUGCUACUGUGGCCUUCAUACAAUUGACCUAUUAAAAGCACAACCCGGAUAUUGCAAAAAUACAUGCUACAAGUCAGUCAGUUAGUGAUUGCCCAACGUAACAUUAGAAUCUGAUGCCCUUCAGAGGCACAGGCACCAUUCAUGUGUGUGCAGCCUCAGCAAGCUGAAAUAGCCCUCUGGAAAGAAAGGACUGCCAAGGAACACAGGGCUGUGGGUCUCCUCCAAACCUUGAAGCUUUUGAAACCUUUGCACAAAGAGCAGAAGCUGGCAGUAUUACUGCAUUAUAUGUUCCAUACAAUAUUCAUUUCCUUAACCCAUACAGCAUGUGGAUCAUUUGGCAUAACCCUGAUUUUUGAGGCCACAUGGGGCUUUUAGUUGUAUCAGAUGCCUGGCCACAUUAGGGACUGAUUUCAGAAUUUGUCUUUGUCUUUUCCAAGAAAGAUUUUGGAGUCGAACUCUGAUUUCCUGGCAUGAGUUUGUGCUGCAGUGUCCAACCUCUGUAUUCCCUCUUUGGUACAGCCAUAGUCAUGUUGUGUGUAAACAAGCCAGUCUGGACUUCUCUGCCUGCAUGUGUCCCCCUGAGGUUAUGCCGUCUACAAGAUGGUGUCAAAAAGAAAAUAAAACCUGUAAGAAGGUGAUAAAGAUAUUUCCAUCUGUUGCUCUUUGACUAGAUCUUUUGGAUUCUAUUCAAUCUUCCAGUCUCCUAUCCUUUGCUUUUCAUUACCUCACCUCAACCACUUUGUCUCGUGUCCUGGCAUAUUAAAAGCCUCAUCCACAUAACUUGUUGAGGUUGAAGUCCCCACGUAAACAUCCACCAUAAGCUUACAGUUGUUAUUUGUAGAAAAGAUCAACACAAGUUGCUGGGCUGGUCUUUGGAUGAGCUUUCUUUUAGUCCCUGGAAUAGAGAGACACUAUGGCUUUGGCUUAUGGCAAAUGACAGCCUUUGCUUGGGUGAAACUUGCCUUUAUCUAUAAUUACCUCUUUUAUUUAUACAUUCCUACUCUGGACAUCUCUGCAGAUUCUGUAGUCUGAUUUCAUUCAUGACUCCUUUUCCAUCUAGGCUUCCUUUUCCUCUAGGAUCAUGACUAGUGCUGUCCACAAUUUUCACUUGACUAACAAUCCACUUUUGAUCUAGUUUCCCUGUACUUGGGCUUAUGCCCUGACUCUACUCUCUGCUUGAUCUCCUGGUUUCCUGAUGGCUUGUCCCUGAAUUCUGCUUACUUCUUUUGACUCUAAUUGCCAUCUUGAUCCCUGACUGGCCCCAGACUUGGCUGCCCAUGACCUGGCCCUUCCGUUCAGGUCGUAAGUUGAUCACUGUUUUCAGGAAGACCUGUGCAUUUGGUGCUAAAGUACUACACAGCAGCUCUCCAAGGAUUUUACUUUUGUCUUUAAAGAAGGACACCUGUUCACUGGCAGUGGCAGGAUGCUGAACUCAAGGGAACAUUGCUGUGAUCCAGAAUGGCAGGUUUCUAUGCCCCUCAUCAUAUAUGGGGCUUUUUGCAUAUAGUGAAUGUACUUCUAGUUUGGAGAAGCUAUGGCAGGGGCUGGCAAUGUUUUUGGGCUGAUUGCCAAAAACACCCCAACCUUGCUUGUAAGAUAUUGGCAUGCCAUGGGCAGGCAGCAGGGGAGCCACAAGGGG